rnacentral:rRNA from 1 species
UACGAGGGGGGCGAGCGUUGUUCGGAAUUAUUGGGCGUAAAGGGUGCGUAGGCGGUUUGAUAAGUCUGAUGUGAAAUCUAUGGGCUCAACCCAUAGCCUGCAUUAGAAACUGUCGGGCUUGAGUAUGGGAGAGGUGAGUGGAAUUCCUGGUGUAGCGGUGAAAUGCGUAGAUAUCAGGAGGAACACCUGUGGCGAAAGCGGCUCACUGGACCAUAACUGACGCUGAUGCACGAAAAGCUAGGGGGAGCAAACAGG